UAAAAAUACAAAAUUAGCCUGGCAUGGUGGCGCAUGCCUGUAAUCCCAGCUACUUGGGAGGAUGAGGCAGGAGAAUUGCUUGAACCCGUGAGGCAAGGAUUACGAUGAGCUGAGAUCACACCAUUGUACUCCAGCCUGCGCAACAAGAGCAAAACUUUGUCACAAAAAAAAAAAAAAAAAAAAAAAAAAAAAGGCUGAGGUGUUAAACAACUAGUGUGACAGGGCUAGUUCCAAUGAUUCCAAUACAUACUGUCUCCUAAGUCUACAAUCAUAACUAAACCAUUUCAGUCAGAGGGAAAUAGGGAAUAUAGUGGCAAGGAAGCAAAUCACAUAGCAAGAGGGUGACAGAGGUUAAAUCACUACAUCAACAGAGAGUGGUGUAGUAAAGGGAGGAAGGGCUGGGAAAACUGCAUGAGGGUGGAUUACAGAGAGCUCUGAAUGCCAUUCUUGGUAGGAUAAAAUGUGAGAACUGAACCCCAACUGAGAAGGUGCCAAUUAAUUCAGGUGGCACUGACCUGUGAGGCUGAGGAGGUCUUAAUCACCAGAACACUAAAUGCUCAUUAUCCAACCUUUUAAUUAGCAAAGAAACUACCCUGUCUGGAAAAGUUUUCAGCAAAGAACUAAGAUUUGAUCAUGCUGUUAAAGAAAAAAAAAGAAAAGAAAAAAACAAUCCUCUGAUCUCUCCCAGGCAACAAAUCUUGUAUUUCAGAUGUAUGUUUUCAUAUCUUCCAGGUCCCAAUUGGAGAGAAAAUGAGGAAAAGGAGGAACAGAUGGGACUAAAAGCAGAAGGCACCUGAUGAAAGAGAAAAAGCAAGGCUGGGGGAAGGGUGUUUAGAGAAGGACUGGGAGAACAAAAGCAAAGAAUCUGAAAUGAGAGCAUGCUUUCUUCCGUUCCCAUGAACUUCAGAAUGAGCCACAUCUUUACUCAAAGCCUCCUCUGCUAUUUAUAUGUGUGACCUUAGGUAAGUUAUUAUCCUCUUUACCAUACAGAAAAAUAAAACAAGUUCUUUGCUUUCAAACAGCUAAAUUAAAUCAGGCACAGGUAGGUAGGCAAGGUCCAACAGGAGGAGUUGGUGUUAAGUGAUUCAACUUUGUUCCCAGCACCAGGCUCAUAUUAUAAUUAUCACUAAGAGUAGAAUUUACCACUUCAGUAGAGGAAAGGCUCCCCAUGCUUUUCCAUAGCUUCCAAAGUUGGUUUGAUGAUUAUGGGGGAAGAGAAGGAAAUUGGGACAACACCUUCGAUACUAGACAGUAUUUAUCAGUCACUCAGAGCUGUCCACCGUGCUUACAGCUUGGUGGAUAUUAUUUCAUUCAAUCCCCCAGUAAUCCUUUAGAUUAUUAUUUCAAUUGUACACAUGAGAAAAUUGAACUUCAGAAAAAUUAAGGGACUUGCCCAAAUCCCACUAGAUUUAGCACCAGGCUCCAAGCUAAUAGCAAACUAGAGAGCUCUUAUGGGAACAACCAUAUUACUGCAGCUUUCCCAGUGUAGUUGUCAUGACCAACUCAGGGUUCUCCAGUCCAAACAAGGAGGUCGUGCUAAUCCAUUCAUACAUCUUAACUCCCGGAAAUCAUUUCCAUUCCCCAUGGAGCAAAAUUUUGGAAAGCAGAUUCAACAAAUUUUGCAAGGUACUGGGGGCAAUGUGGCUAUUAUACAGAAAUAAAAGACAACUUUCCUGUCCUCCAAGAACUUAUAGUUUGGCACGAAAGUGGUAAGUAAA
rnacentral:lncRNA from 10 species